GUUGUGUUUCGUCGGUGACCUGCGGAGGAUCAUUACCGAAUUGUGAACCGGGUUGUUGCUGGCCCUCUGAGGGGGGCAUGUGCACGCUCUGUUAACACGUCCUCUUCACACCUGUGCACCCUCUGUAGUUCUGUGGUCUGGGGGGCCCCGCCCUCCUGCUGUGGUCCUGCAUCUUUACACACACACGCUGUAACAAAAGUCUUAUUGGAUACAUGUCGCGUUUAACGCAUUACAAUACAACUUUCAGCAACGGAUCUCUUGGCUCUCGCAUCGAUCACUAACGCCGCGAAAUGCGAUAAGUAAUGUGAAUUGCAAAAUUCAGUGAAUCAAUUAAUCUUUGAACGCACCUUGCGCCCUUUGGCUAUUCCGGAGGGCAUGCCUGUUUGAGUAUCAUGAACACCUCAACUCUUGUGGUUCUCCGCAAUGAGUUUGGACUUUGGGGGUCUUGCUGGCUUCGGUCAGCUCCUCUCAAAUGGAUCAGCUCACCAGUGUUUGGUGGUGCCAUGGGUGUGAUAAAUAUCUGCACCUGCGGAUUUCCACCAGAUAUCCUUCAGUAACAUGGGGGCUUGCUGGAGCUCAUAGAUGUCUCUCUUUGGUGGGGACAGCCUUUGAACGUUUGAUCUCAUAUCAGGUAGGACUACCCGCUGAACUUAACCAUAUCAAUAAGCGGACGAAAAGAAACUAACAAGGAUUCCCCUAGUAACUGCGAGUGAAGCGGGAAGAGCUCAAAUUUAAAAUCUGGUGUGCCUCUAGCCAUCCGAGUUGUAGUCUGGAGAAGCGUUUUCCGUGUUGGACCGUGUAUAAGUCUCUUGGAACACGUUGUCAUAGAGGGUGAGAAUCCCGUCUUUGACACGGACUGCCAAUGCUUUGUGAUGCGCUCUCAAAGAGUCGAGUUUUUUGGGAAUGCUCUCACAAUGGCGUGGUAAUUGCAUCUGCAGCUAAAUACGGCGAGAGACUCGAUCGCGAACAAUACCGUGAGGGAAAGAUGAAAGCACUAUGGAAGAGAGUAAACAGUACGUGAAAUUGCUGAAAGGAAACGCUUGAGUCAACUAUCUGACGGACUCACCGUGCUCUGCUUGUGACCUUUCUGAUCGAUGCCUCGCUGCAGUUUUGACUGUUGAAGAGGCCUCCUGCAUGUGACCCUUCGGGUGUGUAUAGAAACUG
rnacentral:rRNA from 1 species